rnacentral:rRNA from 1 species
UAGUCCACGCUGUAAACGAUGAGUGCAAGGUGUUGGGGGUCAAACCUCGGUGCCGCCGUUAACACAGUAAGCACUCCGCCUGGGGAGUACGUACGCAAGUAUGAAACUCAAAGGAAUUGACGGGGACCCGCACAAGUAGCGGAGCAUGUGGUUUAAUUCGAUGCAACGCGAAAAACCUUACCAGGGCUUGACAUAAAAGUGACGAGGGAUAGAGAUAUACCUUUUCCCUUCGGAGACAGUUUUAC